GAGGACCGGGUCGGACCAGCCUCUGGUAUACCGGUUGUGGCGACAGCUGCACCGCCGGGUAUCCACGCUGGGUCAGGAUAAGCGCUGAAAGCAUCUAAGCGCGAAGCCGUCUUCAAGAUGAGACUUCCCUAUAGGGUCGUGGGAGACUACCACGUUGAUAGGCCGGAGAUGUAAGGGCGGAGACGUCCUCAGUCGACCGGUACUAAUAGCCCGAGAUCUUUCCGCUU
rnacentral:rRNA from 1 species